GAUGAACGCUGGCGGCAGGCUUAACACAUGCAAGUCGAGCGGGGGAAGGUAGCUUGCUACCGGACCUAGCGGCGGACGGGUGAGUAAUGCUUAGGAAUCUGCCUAUUAGUGGGGGACAACAUCUCGAAAGGGAUGCUAAUACCGCAUACGUCCUACGGGAGAAAGCAGGGGAUCUUAGGACCUUGCGCUAGUAGAUGAGCCUAAGUCGGAUUAGCUAGUUGGUGGGGUAAAGGCCUACCAAGGCGACGAUCUGUAGCGGGUCUGAGAGGAUGCUCGGCCACCCUGGGAGUGCGAAACGGCCGAGACUCCUACAGGAGGCAGCAGUGGGGAAUAUUUGACAAUGGGGGGAACCCUGAUCAAGCCAUGCCGCGUGUGUGAAGAAGGCCUUAUGGUUGUAAAGCACUUUAAGCGAGGAGGAGGCUCUUUUGGUUAAUACCCAAGAUGAGUGGACGUUACUCGCAGAAUAAGCACCGGCUAACUCUGUGCCAGCCGCCGCCGUAA
rnacentral:rRNA from 1 species